rnacentral:rRNA from 1 species
ACCCGCUGAACUUAAGCAUAUCAAUAAGCGGAGGAAAAGAAACCAACAGGGAUUGCCCUAGUAACGGCGAGUGAAGCGGCAACAGCUCAAAUUUGAAAUCUGGCCCUCGGGUCCGAGUUGUAAUUUGUAGAGGAUGCUUUUGGUGCGGUGCCUUCCGAGUUCCCUGGAACGGGACGCCAUAGAGGGUGAGAGCCCCGUCUGGUUGGACGCCAAUCCUCUGUAAAGCUCCUUCGACGAGUCGAGUAGUUUGGGAAUGCUGCUCUAAAUGGGAGGUAUAUGUCUUCUAAAGCUAAAUACCGGCCAGAGACCGAUAGCGCACAAGUAGAGUGAUCGAAAGAUGAAAAGCACUUUGAAAAGAGAGUUAAAAAGUACGUGAAAUUGUUGAAAGGGAAGCGCUUAUGACCAGACUUGGGCUUGGUAGAUCAACCUGGGUUCUCCCUGGUGCACUCUUCCUCGUCCAGGCCAGCAUCAGUUCGCUGCGGGGGAUAAAGGUUUCGGGAAUGUGGCUCCCUCGGGAGUGUUAUAGCCCGUUGCGUAAUACCCUGCGGUGGACUGAGGUUCGCGUUCUGCAAGGAUGCUGGCGUAAUGGUCAUCAGCGACCCGUCUUGAAACACGGACC